GAUGAACGCUAGCUACAGGCUUAACACAUGCAAGUCGAGGGGAAACGGCAUUGAGUGCUUGCACUCUUUGGACGUCGACCGGCGCACGGGUGAGUAACGCGUAUCCAACCUUCCCAUUACUGUGGGAUAACCUGCCGAAAGGCAGACUAAUACCGCAUAGUCUUCGAUGACGGCAUCAGAUUUGAAGUAAAGAUUUAUCGGUAAUGGAUGGGGAUGCGUCUGAUUAGCUUGUUGGCGGGGUAACGGCCCACCAAGGCUACGAUCAGUAGGGGUUCUGAGAGGAAGGCCCACCACAAUGGAACUGCGACACGGUCCAAAAUCCUACGGGAGGCAGCAGUGAGGAAUAUUGGGCAAUGGACGGAAGUCUGACCCAGCCAAGUAGCGUGCAGGAUGACGGCCCUAUGGGUUGUAAACUGCUUUUGUAUGGGGAUAAAGUUAGGGACGUGUCCCUAUUUGCAGGUACCAUAUGAAUAAGGACCGGCUAAUUCCGUG
rnacentral:rRNA from 1 species